UAAUAUCUCAAAGGCAUUGGGAAUUUUUUUCCGGAUGUUUGUGUCCGAUUUAUUUUAUUCUGGGUGGUCUUGUUUUUUAUGACGAGUUUGAAAUUUUCGGGUAUUGGAGUCUCUUUUUAUUUAUCACGCCAUGUCACAUGUUUUUAAACAUUUUUUAAGAAUUUUUUUUAAACCUUGGACGUUGGUAUGCAGGCUUCUAUCUUUUUAUGUGUGGUUUCUAUUUACUUUGAACGUGGGUGUUUGGGACUCAAUUUUUCUGGACGUGUGAGAUUUUAUUUUUUAAUAUGCAUGGUGAGAACUGACCUUUUCUAUAUACAACGUGGUUGCUUUUUUG
rnacentral:lncRNA from 1 species